rnacentral:rRNA from 1 species
AAUGAACGCUGGCGGCACGCCUAACACAUGCAAGUCGAACGAUAAGCUAACUUCGGUUAGUGGACAGUGGCGGACGGGUGAGUAACACGUGGGAACAUACCUUUUGGUACGGAACAACCAUUGGAAACGAUGGCUAAUACCGUAUAAGCCCUCCGGGGGAAAGAUUUAUCGCCGAAAGAUUGGCCCGCGCUAGAUUAGUUAGUUGGUGAGGUAAAAGCUCACCAAGGCGACGAUCUAUAGCUGGUUUGAGAGGAUGAUCAGCCACACUGGGACUGAGACACGGCCCAG